GGAGGGGUGGCCGAGCGGCUGAAGGCGGCGGUUUGCUAAACCGUUGUACGGGGUCAACCCGUACCGUGGGUUCGAAUCCCAUCCCCUCCGCCA
rnacentral:tRNA from 1 species